GGGGGGGGCAGACGCCAUGGCUUCAGCAGAAACAGAGAAAAUCAGCAUGUCUACGUUUGUGGCGGAAAGCAACGGAUCUGUGUGCUCGGCAGUAUCGUGGGGCAUUUCUAAUUACCCUGAUUCGGCUGUUUUUGGCAUCGAUUCGAAGAAGCUGAGUGUCCUCCGAGAGGUUACCGAGGACGACCCUAGCGGCAGAUUUGCGGAUUUGUUGGAUUCUGUCGACGUUAGGACAGAAACAGACAUCGCGGAUCUAGAUGAGAAUAGGGCUUCGAGGAUGGAGAAUAGAUAUGUGGCCCUUGAUGACAAAGUUGGGUGGGUUACAAGCUGGUUUUAGGACAGGAAGGUAGCAAUGCCAGACGAGAGAGCAACAAGUGCUGAGAGGGUGACAGCCCUAGAAAUAGCGCUCACGGGAUUUGCUGAAAGGAAAACAGACACCGUAGUGACACCAUCAGUUGGACUGACGUUCGACUCUAUAAUAGAGGCCUACGAUUUUUACAAUCUUUAUUCCUGGGAGACAGGUUUUGGCAUUAGAUAUGCAAAGAGCAGAACCAAUGUAAAAGGCACGAGAUGCAUGCAGGAGUUCGUGUGCUGCUGCUCGGGCAAGCCAAAAGAGCCGAAUUCAACAUCAUCACGGUGUCAAUGCCAAGCCAUGAUAAGACUUUUGCGGACAGACGACGAUGGAUGGUACAUCAACGAAUUCCGGUCAAGCCACAAUCACCAGAUGUUAAACACAUGUGCUGAAAAGCUCCAUUUCCCUUCACAUAGGCAUAUCGACAAAUAUACCAGAGAGCUAGUAUCUCAGCUUAGAGAGAACAAUGUGAACCUGAGCAAAGUUUACAGUAUUCUUGCAACUUUUUUGGGAGGGUUGAAAAUGUGUCGUUCACCAAAAGGUGCCUCAGGACAUUAUGUGGGAAGCUGAGCAGGGAGUAGGCCGAUGACGAUGUACGGAAGACGAUGGCAAUUUUUUCAGAGAUGAAAGUCCAAGACAGCGAGUUCAAUUACAAUGUGCAGGUAGAUGAUGAAAGUAGAAUACGUACUCUCAUGUGGACGAAUGGACGUAGCAAAAAACAAUACCACCAUUUUGGCGAUGUGGUGACGUUUGACACCACAUACAAGACUAAUCUAUACGAUAUGCCAUUCGGUAUUUUUGUUGGCAUGAACAACCACUUUCAAAGUGUGUUGUAUGCUGGCGUGCUCAUGCGAGAUGAGACAGUCGACACUUUCAAAUGGAUUUUUGAUGAGUUUGUGAAGAUGAUGGGAGGGAAAAGACCAAUUACCAUUUUAACAGACCAAGCGAGGGCGAUGGAAGUCGCUAUUGAGGACGUAUAUCCGGAUGCAACACACAGAUGGUGCAAGUGGCACAUCCUGAAGAAGGCCAAAGAGAGCCUGGGGUCUAAUUACACCAAGAAAUCUGAUUUCAGGGCAGAAUUCCACAAAUUGGUUCACGAAAUGCUGACUAUAGAGGAGUUUGAGGACGGGUGGGCAGCGUUGCUUGAGAAGUAUUCACUGACUAAGAACACGUACCUGACGCAAAUUUACGAGACAAGGCAGAAAUGGGCCAAGCCAUACUUUGCAGGGAAAUUCCGUGCGAGGCAAACCAGCACUGGGAGGAGUGAGAGUGCCAAUCACAUGUUGAAACAGUAUGUUCCACCUUCUUGCUCAAUGAAUCUGUUUGUCAAGCAGUACAACAAGCUGCAGUUUGACCGUGAACAAGAAGAGGGGUUCCAGGAAAAAUGAACCAGGCUGAGUGGAGCUGUCUUGAAGGUCAACACCCCACUAGAAGUGCACGCUAGCAAGAUGUACACCAGGAAGAUGUUUGAGAUUUUCGGGGGUUUAUUGUACGAAUCCGGAAGCUAUGAUGUAGAAGAGAUCAUACCAAAACAGAAAUACAUAGUGACACACGUGAAGGCUGAAAAGCGAGAGAAAUGGUUCAAAUGCCGCUACGAGGUCAAUGUGUCGGAUAAUCUGGGGUAUUUUUCCUGCAUAUGCGGCCUGUUCGAGCACAUGGGGAUGGUUUGCUGUCACUCGCUACAGGUCAUGAAUGUGCUCCGGCUUAAGGAGAUUCCACCCAGACACAUCCUGAAGAGAUGGAGCAUACACGGGAGAGACAAUCUGCCAGAUCAUCUAAAACAUUAUCAACAGGACAUGGGGCCGCCGGACGCACCCAUUUAUAGACAUUCUGCUUUGUACAUCACUGCUCUGGAAGUGGUUAAAAUGGGUGACAGAAACCUAGAAUCAUACAAA